AUUGAACGCUGGCGGCAGGCCUAACACAUGCAAGUCGAACGGUAACAGGAAGCAGCUUGCUGCUUUGCUGACGAGUGGCGGACGGGUGAGUAAUGUCUGGGAAACUGCCCGAUGGAGGGGGAUAACUACUGGAAACGGUAGCUAAUACCGCAUAACGUCGCAAGACCAAAGAGGGGGACCUUAGGGCCUCUUGCCAUCGGAUGUGCCCAGAUGGGAUUAGCUAGUAGGUGGGGUAACGGCUCACCUAGGCCACGAUCCCUAGCUGGUCUGAGAGGAUGACCAGCCACACUGGAACUGAGACACGGUCCAGACUCCUACGGGAGGCAGCAGUGGGGAAUAUUGCACAAUGGGCGCAAGCCUGAUGCAGCCAUGCCGCGUGUAUGAAGAAGGCCUUCGGGUUGUAAAGUACUUUCAGCGGGGAGGAAGGGAGUAAAGUUAAUACCUUUGCUCAUUGACGUUACCCGCAGAAGAAGCACCGGCUAACUCCGUG
rnacentral:rRNA from 1 species